rnacentral:lncRNA from 1 species
GUUGUCUUCACAUUUAAAAUUUUUAAAUGAGAAGAAAAUUAUGAUUAUUUAAAAAUUUAUAUAAUAAAAUAAUUCAAUACAUACUUACUAGUUUCUGGAAUUAUCUCACUUAUGUCUGCUUCUAACCCAGUUGUGCAGGUGAUAUCUAAACCUCCAUCCAGAAAUAACUGCUGCAAGCCUUCUGGUGCAGUAUUCAUUCUCGACAUGCAAUCAGAGCCAACAGGAACCUGGGGACAGGGAAGCCAUGGUGAACUCCAAAUCACAGUGAAAACAGAGCCAUCAACAGGAGAUACAAUGUUUAUUUAGUGAAAGUGUUUUCUUGAAAUAUUUACUGCUUUAUGGUUACUCUUGUUAUUCAGUUUCACAAAUGAUCUCUAUUUCAAAUGAAGUCUAUCCAUUAUCAGUUUAUGAAUGAUCAAAUUAUCCCUUCACCUUUCUAAAAGAUCCAACUAAAU